GAUGAACGCUAGCGGCGGGCCUAAUACAUGCAAGUCGAUCGGGAUCAGGGAGCUUGCUCCCUGUGAGAGUGGCGCACGGGUGCGUAACACGUAUGCAACCUACCUUCAACUGGGGGAUAGCCUUCCGAAAGGAAGAUUAAUACCGCAUAACAUAAUUGAAUGGCAUCAUUUGAUUAUCAAACGUCAGGGUUGAAGAUGGGCAUGCGUCCGAUUAGCUAUUGGGUGUGGUAACGGAACACCAAGGCGACGAUCGGUAGGGGAUCUGAGAGGAUGGCCCCCAACGCUGGUACUGGGACACGGACCAGACGCCUAGGGGAGUCGGCAGUAAGGAAUAUUGGUCAAUGGACGCAAGUCUGAACCAGCCAUGCCGCGUGCAGGAAGACGGUCCUCUGGAUUGUAAACUGCUUUUGUUAGGGAAGAAACCCUCGGAUGCGUCCGGGGCUGACGGUACCUAAAGAAUAAGGAUCGGCUAACUCCGUGCCAGCCGCCGCCGUAACAC
rnacentral:rRNA from 1 species